AUUGAACGCUGGCGGCAUGCCUUACACAUGCAAGUCGAACGGUAACGGGCCUUCGGGUGCCGACGAGUGGCGAACGGGUGAGUAAUGUAUCGGAACGUACCCUUCAGUGGGGGAUAACUCAGCGAAAGAUAAGCUAAUACCGCAUACGCUGUGCGCAUGAAAGCCGGGGAUCGGAAGACCUUGCGCGGUUGGAGCGGCCGAUGGCAGAUUAGGUGGUUGGUGGGGUAAAGGCUCACCAAGGCUACGAUCUGUAGCGGGUCAGCGAGGAUGACCAGCCACACUGGGACUGAGACACGGACCAGAGUCCUACGGGAGGCAGCAGUGGGGAAUUCUGGACAAUGGGCGCAAGCCUGAUCCAGCCAUGCCGCGUGAGGGAAGAAGGCCUUCGGGUUGUAAAGCUCUUUCGGCCGGAAAGAAAACGCAUCUGCUAAUACCUGGUGUGGAUGACGGUACCGGAAUAAGAAGCACCGGCUAACUACGUGCCAGCCGCCGCGGUAACAC
rnacentral:rRNA from 1 species